GCCACAACAGUGAGAGGCCCGCGUACAGCAAAAAAAAAAAAAAAAAAAAAAAAAAAAGGGAAGUGAUGUAGUCAGAAUGCUUUCUUGUCAGGUAACCUCUAUUUAAUAUGAAAUUUAAACGCAAUAUAUAACUCUGGAUAUAUCUCACAAGGUACAUAAUUCAGAGUUUAGACUUUUGAAAUACUAAAAUAAUGGUACCAAAUCAAGAAAAAUACUAGGAAAUACUUGGUUCUUUAAAAAUAGCAUGAUAUUCUGGCAUAUCAGAAUUUUGCAAAACUAUAUUUCAAUCAUUUAUUGGGUCAAGGCUGGAAACACUAGACAGGGCAAUGUACGAGUGUGUAAAACCACGCUGACAUAUGAAGAAACCCAUAAACUGGGGCUGAGUAGCCUGUCAUAGUGAAAAGGCCUGAAUUUCGAAUCAGAAGACUUGCUGUUAGGUCUUGGACAAGUUCUUCCACCCUGUGGGGCCUUAGUUUCUUCAUCAAUACAAUAAGCAUAGAAACACUGCUCUGUCUCUUCCAGAGGGCUGCUACAUAUAAACAUUUAUAUAAUAUUAAAUAAAAUAGUGGUAACAAAAGCUGUAAAAGUAAGACCUUAGGCUCUAAGGAUAGAAUUAUCCUUUACUUAAAAAUUUUAAUAUUAGGAGACAAACAAUGUCAUUUGAUUUUGCUCUCAAACUCUACAUAAAGGCAGCUCCUCUAAUACAUUCCUCUUUCUUGAAUGAUCCCCCACUCUUAUUUAGAUGUAAAUUGCAAGGAAAUUUUGAAUUAUAGGAUGAGAAGUUUCCUUCCCCACAAACAAUAUGGGCUGGUACUUCUCAUGAAUAUCACAUUCAAUUUUUGGUCACUGUCAUCUUUAUUCAGAAUGAAGUAUCCUGAAUGAAAAAAAAAAUUUUUUUUUAUACUGUACUGUUGGGAGUUAAAGGGCCAGUUUUUUAAAAAAAAUAUAUACACUAUGGAUCCCCCUCCUAUUAUUUUGAAGCAAACCCCAGAUAUCAUAUUAACAGGCUUUGUGAAUUUGAUGUUUAAUUUGAACUAUCUUUGAUUCCUGGAUAUCUGUUGGCUCUAUACCCUGUGGCUGAGCUAGUCUUGAAACUUCACUGGGCAUGGGAGCCUUGGGUGGCUUGUUUGCUUGGAAAGGAAGCUUGGCUACUUCCUGGCAAUUAUCCUGCACUCUCCUUGCUUGGUCCUACCUUGCUCCUGCUCUCUCACCUCAUCUUUGAACUCUGGCUCUACUGGAAGUUCGAAGUUCAAGCUUCUUGCUGGUGUUUGUCUCCACUGAGCUGGGUUCUCACUCUAAGGGAAGAGACCCUAGCUUGAACUUGCCCUUCUAAGCUUUCCUGACUUUUGCUUCCUCAGGCAGGCCACAACCUAGUUCUAACCCUUCAAAUCCCACCCCGGCAACACUAGUUCACUGCCAGCCCCAUUAAGGAGGAGAAAAAGACAUGCAAAUAUGUGGCUGCUUUCUCUCAUGUUGUGGCAUUGCUUCUAAUUCACCUGGUUCCUUAAAGUAUCCUUUGAUGGCACUCUUCCAGGCAGAAUUAGCAAGUCCACAUUUUCAUGUUGCAGUCAUAAUAAUUGAUGGGAAGAAGAUACUAAGUAUCCUCUUCUCAUUUGUGUUAAACUCUGCCAUUGGGCCACUAUUAUUUUUUUUUGUGGGAGGGGUUAUUAUCCCAGUUUUCUACAGCACUUUUAGGUCAGCAACUUAUUCUCUUGACUUGUACAACUCUGAUUCUGAUUCCAAUUCUAGUGUGUGAAUUUUCCAACAACACCAAGCAAUUCUUCAAAACCGGCUGGGUGUCCUACAAUUGAACUCAGUUGUGACACUCUCUACCUGGAAAUAGCAUCAGAUCCCUCAGGUUAAGGGCUCAGUCCUAUAAGACUGCCCCCAGGUCAGAUGCCAGUCACAAAUUCAGGUUGUUACAUAUGCUUCUGUCAACUGGCUAUACAUAAGAGUUUCCCAUGACCCCCUCCUUUUGCUCCAUAAAUUCACUAGAAUGGCUCACAGAACUCAGAAACAUUUUACUUACUAGAUUACUAGUUUAUUAUAAAAGAAUAUAAUUCAGGAACAGCCCGGUAGAAGAGAUGUAUAGGGCAAGGUAUGGGGAAGGGAUAUGGAGCUUCCAAGUCAUCUCCAAGCAUACCACUAUCCCCAAAUCUCCAUAUGUUCACCAACCCAGAAGCUCUCUGAAACUCAGCCUUUUGGGUCUUUUUGGAGGCUUCAUUACAUAAGUAUGGUUGGUGAAAUCAUUGAUCAUUGGCAAUUAAACUAAAUCUCCAGCCCCUCUCUCCUCCCUGAAGGUUGGGGUUGGGACUAAAAGCUCUGUUACUGGAAGGGCAACCCUUACCAGGACCCAAGCGUGGGCUCUUGUCUAACACUUGGAAAUGAAUUGUCCAAGGAGACACAUGUGCUGACAAAGCAAAAUACUUUAUUGGGAAGGAGUGCCCAGGUGGAGAGCAGCUGGGUAAGGGAACCUAGGAGAACUGCUCUGCCACAUGGCUUGCAGUCUCAGGUUUCAUGAUAAUGGGGUUGGCUUUCCAGGUUGUCACUGGCCAAUCAUGCUGCUUGUGGUCGUAUUUCAUCUGAUUCAAGGCCCUUCCUGGUGGUGUGUGCAUCUCUCAGUCAAGAUGGUUUCCACCACAAGGGUUUCUGGGAAGUUGGCAGGACCUAUUAUGGACUGGCAUCUCUUUCCUACUUUUGGCCCCUCCCGAUUUCUUCUGGCUGGUGGUAGCUUGUCACUUCUGUGUUUCUUAUUGAGACCUCCUAUUGUGAGAUAACUCACACAAGCAGCUAUUAUCCUUUCUGGCCAGGGCAGUUGGUUUCAGCCAAUGGUGCCCUAACAGUUCUAACACUCUAAUCACAUGGUUGUUCCCUCAGAUGACCUAAGGACAUUCCAGAAGUUGCCUCAUUAACAUAACAAAAGACACUUUAAUAGCUCUACUUAACUUAGGAAAUUUCUUGGGUUUUAGAAGCUCUGCCAGGAAUGGGGAUGAAGACCAAAUACGUAUUUCUUAUUAUUUAUCACAAUAUCACAACUUGCUUUCUAGGAUCCAUGCAGCCUCCUUUACCCAACAACCCUAAGGAAGAACUCAGGGAACACAACUUCCUGGAGCUAAGCUGGAAGACAUUUGAGUAACACUGGGUCUGCAGCAUCCAAAACCAUUCCACACAGACCCCCCAGACUAUUUCUGGAAUGCCCUGUAUCCUCUUCCAUCUGGACAGUUACGGCUUCACUCUGAUGCCUUUGCAAAAAUGCUUCCUCUUCAAGAAGAUUUAUAGAAAAGACCUUUGGAGAAACAAGAUUCUGGCUUUCAGACCAUAAUGCUGAACUGGGUAAGAAAUUGAAAAAUUCUAAUGGGAAAACCUGUCAGCUUCAUAAAGUUAUUAACAAAGAGAAAGUUAGACUGAGUGAACUGGUGAAUAUGGUUAUAUAAUUUUUAUGGUUUCUAUCUGAAAAAGUACUGGUUUAAAUCUGUGUUUUCCAGGAGUGAGGAAAACUAUCCCAUUAAACUAAUUACAACUUACAGUAAUUUGGUAAAUUAUACCUUUGUAAACAGAAUUAAAACAUUUAUCUUUUUCUCUCUUCCUGGUUGAUCCUGCCAAUAGCAUAUGCUUGUCUCAGAGAUUAAGCCAUGCAUGUCUAAGUAUUCAUGGCUAGUACAGUGAGACUGCAGAUGGCUCAUUAAAUCAAUUAUGGUACCUUUGUUCAAUUAUUAUUGCAACUGGAUUAUAACUAGUUAUACUAAUCAUUGUUUUAAUUUGUUCUUUGUUUCCAAAUUGCUUGUGCUUUGUGUCUCCCUGCUGCGCUAUAUCUUUGUCAAUGUUACCAGCUACAUUACUUAUAUCCUAUUUUGUAAUAUUGUUGUCCCUUACAAUACCCAAUGUGUAACCAGGCCUCCAACAAAACUUCUAUGGCUAAACAUCUUGAGAAAAUAGAUCACAUUUAUAACAUAAAAUAAUUGUAAUAUUGUGAUUCUAGGUAUGGGAAGAAGCAACAAGGGGAAAUGUCUCCUGGAUCAUAAUUAGAUAGAGGAUCCAGAGAAUCUUUAACUAUUAAGUAGGGCUUACUCCAAAAAUUAGCAUCUGGAGUGGCAUAUCAAGAAUUUUAGCCUGAUCUGGGAUGAGCCUCCCAGAGCCAUGGGACAAAAUUUGAUCAUGAAAUGUCUCCCAAAUAUUGGUCAAAUUCCUGACCAAGAGGAGAGGAUCUGGGAAAUGGAAUAUUUCCUGCCAUAUCAGGCAUCAGCAAUUGCAGCCCUCAAACGUGAGGUGGUGAACCCUGAGGAAACUCGGGAAGGAGAAGAAUACCUGCCAUCUAGCAGCCAUCAGACUACAGUCACUCCUUAUGGUAAGCCCUGAGAAAUCUCAGGAUAUGAAAAUAUGGGAUAUAGGCCCCAGAUAGCUGAGGUGUAUAUUAAAGGAAAGAUUUCAGUGAGCCCAGACUCUUGCAUCUUCCCUUAUAUAGAACGCUAAAUUCCUUAACUUGAGAUGCUGCCUCCCAGGCUUGAAGCCCUCAAAAUUCCCACCGAAUAAAUCAUAACUCUCAAUUUUUAGGUUGUGAAUAUUUUUAAAGUCUACAGGUAUAAAGGAGACACUUUCCAGAGAGGAACAAAAAUAACAACAUUUGGAAGACUGACACUGAUGGCGGACACUCCCAGAAAGAUCCAUCUGACAAAGCAGUUAAAAUGGUCAUCACCCCUUUUUCCACAAGAUUGUGGAAUGGACAUUGACAGUGGGGAAUUGUAACAGGGAAGAGCCAAAUCUGUUGGAUCUGUUUCUUUUACUUUAACCUUUGCUUUCUGCUGCUUUUGUUCACUAAAAGGAUACUGUCCAUACAUAAUGGCCUGCCUCAGGGAAACCUGCCCCUCUGCCUGAAUGUGAAACCAAAGUGCCUUUGUUCAUGGAAGCAUCCUGACCCUGACCACCUGUGGAUGGCUGCCAGAAAGGCAAAAUUAACACAUCCCCUCCCUGACGGUGGCCAUUUCAGGGGACAUUUGCAAAACUUAUGGCCUUGUACUUUACUUCCUUAUCUCCUCCCCCUCUCUGUUCUAUAAAAGAAACUGGCAUCCAAACCCCUAUAAGAGGGUUUUUGGAGACAUUAGUCUGCCAUCUUCUUGGUCUGCCAGCUUUCUGAAUAAAGUCAUAUUACUUGCCUCAA